AGCAGCCGCGGUAAUUCCAGCUCCAAUAGCGUAUAUUAAAGUUGUUGCAGUUAAAAAGCUCGUAGUUGAAUUUCGGGAUCAAAGGAUCGGUCAUGCCUUGGUAUGUACUGGUUUUAUUGGUUCUCACCUUCUAAAGAACCAUAAUGUCAUUCAUUUGAUGUUAUGGGGAAUUAGGACUGUUACCUUGAAAAAUUAGGGUGUUUAAAGCAGGCUUACGCUUGAAUACAUUAGCAUGGAAUAAUGAAAUAGGACAUCAGAUUCUAUUUUGUUGGUUUCUAGGAUCGAUGUAAUGAUUAAUAGGGAUAGUUGGGGGCAUUAGUAUUCAAUUGUCAGAGGUGAAAUUCUUGGAUUUAUUGAAGACUAACUACUGCGAAAGCAUUUGCCAAGGAUGUUUUCAUUAAUCAAGAACGAAAGUUAGGGGAUCGAAGACGAUCAGAUACCGUCGUAGUCUUAACCAUAAACUAUGCCGACUAGGGAUCGGAUGAUGUUAAUUUUAUAAUGACUCAUUCC
rnacentral:misc_RNA from 1 species